rnacentral:rRNA from 1 species
AAUAGAUACCCUGGUAGUCCAUGCCGUAAACGUUGGGCACUAGGUGUGGGGGACAUUCCACGUUUUCCGCGCCGUAGCUAACGCAUUAAGUGCCCCGCCUGGGGAGUACGGCCGCAAGGCUAAAACUCAAAGGAAUUGACGGGGGCCCGCACAAGCGGCGGAGCAUGCGGAUUAAUUCGAUGCAACGCGAAGAACCUUACCAAGGCUUGACAUGAACCGGACCGCUGCAGAAAUGUGGUUUCCCCUUUGGGGCUGGUUUACAGGUGGUGCAUGGUUGUCGUCAGCUCGUGUCGUGAGAUGUUGGGUUAAGUCCCGCAACGAGCGCAACCCUCGUUCUAUGUUGCCAGCACGUGAUGGUGGGGACUCAUAGGAGACUGCCGGGGUCAACUCGGAGGAAGGUGGGGACGACGUCAAAUCAUCAUGCCCCUUAUGUCUUGGGCUUCACGCAUGCUACAAUGGCCGGUACAAAGGGUUGCGAUACUGUGAGGUGGAGCUAAUCCCAAAAAGCCGGUCUCAGUUCGGAUUGGGGUCUGCAACUCGACCCC